UGUUCUUGGUGGAAGUAACUCCUCCUAGGAAGAGCGAUGGGAACUCGUUAAAGUUGAUCCUAUCUGCCUGCACCUCGGGGGAUGUGAGCAGGAAUUUGUGCAGAAACGGUUCCUUUAAGUCAAACAGACCAACUGAGUGAGCUGGAGCAAGAAGGAUGUCUUCGAUCUUCAGGAGACCCACACUGACCGGGCAGCUCUUCAUUAAAGCUGUCCAGCAAAACCAAAGGUCCACCGUCUACAGCAAGCCGCCAAAGGAAAAGAUUGGCCCAGCGCAGUCCAUCUUUGCCCUGUGUGUGUUUGCUAUGACUCUCCUGGCUCCGGCUGGAUGGAUUCUGCAUCACGUCCCAGAAUACCGCCAGGGAUCAACUCCACAUCCCUGACAUCUGGAAGAAGCUCUGCCUUCAGAUAAACAUUCAAUUGCCCUUCUGCACAGCUGCCUCUUAAAGAAAAGAAAUAAAAUGUUCUUGUUUAAAUAGUUUUUUUGUUUAUUGCUUAAAUCCAUGUGCAUUGUUUUAUGUCCUUCUCUGUCUACUACUGUGCCUCAUUCCAAUAGUUAUUUCAUCGCUUUUCUGUGCAGCACUUUGCGGCAAUUUUGUUUGUGAAAGGUGCUUAACAAAUAAACUGAGAUGGACAGUUGA